rnacentral:rRNA from 1 species
AUUGAACGCUGGUUAGUGGCGGACGGGUGAGUAACGCGUGGGUAACCUGCCGUAUGCAGGGGGAUAACAGUUAGAAAUGACUGCUAAUACCGCAUAAGCGCACAGUAUCGCAUGAUACAGUGUGAAAAACGAUAGUGGCAUACGAUGGACCCGCGUCUGAUUAGCUAGUUGGUGGGGUAACGGCCUACCAAGGCGACGAUCAGUAGCCGGUCUGAGAGGAUGAACGGCCACAUUGGGACUGAGACACGGCCCAGACUCCUACGGGAGGCAGCAGUGGGGAAUCUUCCGCAAUGGGCGAAAGCCUGACGGAGCAAUGCCGCGUGAGUGAUGAAGGAAUUCGUUCCGUAAAGCUCUUUUGUUUAUGACGAAUGUGCAGACUGUGAAUAAUGGUUUGUAAUGACGGUAGUAAACGAAUAAGCCACGGCUAACUACGUG